UACGUAGGGCGCAAGCGUUAUCCGGAAUUAUUGGGCGUAAAGAGCUCGUAGGCGGUUUGUCGCGUCUGCCGUGAAAGUCCGGGGCUCAACUCCGGAUCUGCGGUGGGUACGGGCAGACUAGAGUGAUGUAGGGGAGACUGGAAUUCCUGGUGUAGCGGUGGAAUGCGCAGAUAUCAGGAGGAACACCAGUGGCGAAGGCGGAUCUCUGGGCCGUAACUGACGCUGAGGA
rnacentral:rRNA from 1 species